GGCGUGAAUUAAUGAGGAGAUUGUACCCCCUCCCUCUCUGUACAUCAAGGUGCCCCCAAACCUUGGAGGAUUGCAAUCGGUGAUUGCAACACCCGUGGUCACAGAUCAGUGGUUCAACCACUACACCUGGGGGCCGGUGGAAGCUCGCUGAGCCAGCUGGCAUGAGACCAGAGGCAAGAUUUUGCCUGUCUUCUAUUCUACAAACCAAUUGCCUCUGUGGCUGCUACCUGUCUUGCCUCGCAUCUGCUCUGUGACUGACUGCACCAGUGGCCCUCUCGACCCAUAUGCCUCCAUGCGAAUGGGAGCUUCUCUGCAACUCUGGUUGUACUGAUUAGACUGGAGUGGAAGAAAUCAACUUCUACAGCAGCCUGGAAGCAGCAAGGCACAAAACAGGACCCUCUGCUCUGCCCAGCCAUUUAAAUAGAGAGACUUGAAAGACAGGUCAAAUGGCAAUCUAACAUUCCUUAGGCAUUUUCUUACCCUUUUUUUGGUAGAUUUUGCUGUUGUUCACUUUGAUGCAGAUGAACUCUGAAGAUGUUAAGUGACCAAGGCUACCAUUUUUGGUCAAUAUGAAGGGUGUUUAUUUGUCUUCUCGAUGAAUGUGCAUCAGUUCCAUUAUUAAAGAAAGGAGGUAGACCUGGCACUCAUGGGGUACUCACGUUAUAUAUAAUUCUCUUAUUACUGUUGGCCUUAUACUCCAGCAUUACAGGAUCAUAGCCAGUGUCAUCCUUUUUUAUUUAAAUUUAAUUUACACAAAAUAAUGUCCCUCUUGCUCCAUUUCUUCCAAUUCCCUGCUUUUGCCUCCCCUGCUCAUUUUUCUUUAUUGUUUCAAAGUUAGUCCCUUCACCAAUGUCACUCGCUUCCACAGUCCCAUAUUUCACCUUUGCAAAACACAGCAAAAAGCCAUCCAUUUAUUCUGCAACAUCAUUUGUGGCUAUUUGUUGCAAUUAAAAAUAGGACUUUGCAAAUUGAGUUGCACUGUCAUUCAGCAGAUGCCAUUCAAUGCUUAUGCAGAGACAAGCAGCAGUUGUUGGUCUUUUCUGUUGUCUGAUCUAUUUUCAUCUAGCAUCACUGUUGCCUCCUCUGGUGUUGGACCCUUCUAGCACAAGUGCACAUCACAGCAUGCUUUUCUUUGUACCAUUUUUACCCUUCAUAGACACCACUUGCCUUUCUUCACCUGGCUCACAGUGGCUUCUGAGGCAAGUCUGUAACUCUAACGCUUGGGACUGUGGCAUGUGGUUUUGCUUCUUGUAGGCCUGUGCUCAGAAGCCUGUCCA